ensembl:lncRNA
AUCUGAGCCUGACUCCAGUUGGUCUGGAAUCUCAGCUACAUUCCCGUUCACCCUGGCUCAUAAGAGCGGUGUUCUGAACUUGCAGCCAUUGUACACACCCCUGUCCCCUGUUUUUUGUAGUACUGGGGACUAAACCUAGGGCCUUGCUUGGAUGUGGUAGGCAAUGGCUUCAUCAAUGAACUACACACCAUCCCAUUUAUUUAUGUAUUUUUUACCUAGAAGUUUAGUUUAUUCCUCUAAACAAUACUUUUCUUUGGAAAACAAGCCCCGUGGAGUUUCUGCCAUCAAGUUACUUGAGUUUAACAUGCUUAUUUCUAGACGCCUAAUACACACAGAACUGAAACUACAGGGUAGAGUUUUAGAAAAGUAGAUCCUACAAAUGAAAACUCAAGCUAUUUUAACAAAUAUUCCUUUAAACAUCAACAUGUCUCAACACUUCAGAGACAAAAGAUUUGUUCUACUAAGGAAUCUGGUUUGAUAACUAAACACUUUAGACCUCACAAAAUUAACAGCAAGUUACAUCUUACCACAAACAUCUCAACCUGUUAAAAUAAACCAAGAUGAAACCAAAAAAUUCAUUGCUAGCUCUGCUUUAGUGCCUAAAGUAUCACAGCAUCUCUUAAAAGUAGAAAGAAAUCUUAUCUUCCCCUUAAGCAGUUAUCAGGACAUACAGAUUUAAAUGUUAACAAAAAAACCCUUGAAAAUAUAUAUUACCUAAGAAAUGGACUAAGCUCUGCCUGAUUCUUCAGCAGAACUUAGUCCAUUUCUUCCAUGCGUGACAUGUUGUUGUCAUCUCCUUCAAGGGGCGGCAUCUCUUCAGUGACAGCGGCAGUGGUGUAAUCAGCAGAGUGUGGUCUCCUCAGCGAUACGGAGACCCAGCUUGAUCAUCCUGUAAAUCCUGUUCACAUGGGUGUGGGGGUCUUCGAGACAAGCCAGAGGACAAGAGUGGAGUUUCCUAAAGCAAGAUGACCAGCUCCUUUACAGUCUCGUCAUUCUCGUCAGCCUCGGCCUUUUGCCUCAAGGUCAAAAGGACAAAAAGAAGUGGACAAAAAGAAGAGCUCUGAAUUCCAACUGUCCUUCAAUGGAAAAAUGCUUCACCACCAGGAAAUCCCAGUCAUCGAUCAAGCUCUUCCAGAACUAACUCUCCAUACUCCUCAUGCAGGAUAACCUUUGCUCCUCUGCCACGGAGUUCACCUUGUCAGUCCUCAUUGAAGGACCUGCCUGCUGAAGGUUCCAGGCAUACUGCUCAUCAUCGCUUUGCUUGGUGGUCACAGUCACUCUCUCAGCAACCAAGUGGAAACCCACACCUGACCGGCCAGUCAUGGAGUUGUCAGUGCCAACCUGCAAAGCCUCCAUGAAGGCCUUGGUCUCCAACUUGGUGAUGGUGCUGAAGUCAUCCAUCAAGUUAACCCUGGUCAUUCCGAUCCCAGUAUCCACGAUGCAGCUACCUUAGCAACAGCAUCUGUGCCAGGGUCCAAGAGGAAGCGGGGCACCACCUAUCACUACCCCCAGGGAGAGGUGACAAGCCUACAGGAAGAGCCGGCCUGGAAUCAGGAGGCCUGGGCUACUGCUUGUACUCUGCUGGCCAUUGGCUGCUGCCCGCCCCCCCUUCCAAAUCACUUCACCCUCUGCACAUAUUGUGAGGCCAAGGACUCUGCAGCUGGUUCAAGGAUGUUGCAGAGCACAGCCCUCUGCUUCCACUCUGGAUGGCCAUGGCACAGAAACUCCAUCAGGAAGCAGCCAUCCUUCAGCCAGUCUUCUGUGACUUAACGUUGUACUUGCCACCUGUGAUGCAGAAUGUUUGCUGACCAGGCAGAUGAUUAAGGUCCACAGGGCAAGUAAUUGGCAUGCCUGGCCUCUCCAGGAUGGAUAUUUCUGUGAGCAAUUAGAUGUCCCUGCAGUGGAGUAGGAGGUAAACUUGGCAUUGGUCCUUGAAGAAAGGAGACUGAGGUAGUAAAAAGUAAUUAUGAGCAGCUCAGCUCUACAAUUAUCUGUAAUAUUAUUAACAAUAAUAAAAGUAAUAUGUGGU